rnacentral:rRNA from 1 species
UACGGACGGUCCAAGCGUUAUCCGGAAUCAUUGGGUUUAAAGGGUCCGUAGGCGGUUUAGUAAGUCAGUGGUGAAAGCCCAUCGCUCAACGGUGGAACGGCCAUUGAUACUGCUAAACUUGAAUUAUUAGGAAGUAACUAGAAUAUGUAGUGUAGCGGUGAAAUGCUUAGAUAUUACAUGGAAUACCAAUUGCGAAGGCAGGUUACUACUAAUGGAUUGACGCUGAUGGACGAAAGCGUGGGUAGCGAACAGG